rnacentral:RNase_P_RNA from 1 species
GCAAGCCGAAGGGCAGCUAACGGUUUUUCGUAAACUGAGGAAACUCCACCCAUCUUACAGAACCGUGAUGCUAUAAAGCAUAUGCUGAGAAGCAUGACUCUGGAGCAGAAACGAAACGUCACCUGUUGGAUGAACAUGAAGCCACGCAGAUUGACAGCAGGAGGAACGGUGAAACGGCCAUUCCACGGGAUGCAAGGGCAAAUACUGCUGAUGAACCCUGUAUGAGGCAGAGGUAGCCUGCAAAGAUGAAUGCUGCCAGGAACAGAAGGUGGGUUACUCUCGGCAUGC